UUUAAAACUUGGGGAUAGUACCCCACUAUGCUUAGCCCUAAACAUAAAAAAUUAUAAACAAAAUUAUUCGCCAGAGUACUACCAGCAAAAGCUAGAAACUCAAAGGACUUGGCGGUGCCUUAUAUCCUUCUAGAGGAGCCUGUUCUAUAAUCGAUAAACCCCGAUACACCUCACCAAUUCUUGCCAAAUCAGCCUAUAUACCGCCAUCUUCAGCAAACCCUAAUAAAGGAAAUGUAGUAAGCACAAGUAUUAACAUAAAAACGUUAGGUCAAGGUGUAGCUUAUGAAUUGGAAAGAAAUGGGCUACAUUUCCCCAAUAUUGAGGAUACUUUACGAAAACUUAUGUGAAACCAUCAGUUAAAGGUGGAUUUAGUAGUAAAUUAAGAAUAGAGUGCGUAAUGAAUACGUCCAUGCCGGG
rnacentral:rRNA from 1 species